UGCAGUCGAGCGGAACGAGUUAUCUGAACCUUCGGGGAACGAUAACGGCGUCGAGCGGCGGACGGGUGAGUAAUGCCUAGGAAAUUGCCCUGAUGUGGGGGAUAACCAUUGGAAACGAUGGCUAAUACCGCAUAAUGCCUACGGGCCAAAGAGGGGGACCUUCGGGCCUCUCGCGUCAGGAUAUGCCUAGGUGGGAUUAGCUAGUUGGUGAGGUAAUGGCUCACCAAGGCGACGAUCCCUAGCUGGUCUGAGAGGAUGAUCAGCCACACUGGAACUGAGACACGGUCCAGACUCCUACGGGAGGCAGCAGUGGGGAAUAUUGCACAAUGGGCGCAAGCCUGAUGCAGCCAUGCCGCGUGUGUGAAGAAGGCCUUCGGGUUGUAAAGCACUUUCAGUCGUGAGGAAGGUAGUGUAGUUAAUAGCUGCAUUAUUUGACGUUAGCGACAGAAGAAGCACCGGCUAACUCCGUGCCAGCAGCCGCGGUAAUACGGAGGGUGCGAGCGUUAAUCGGAAUUACUGGGCGUAAAGCGCAUGCAGGUGGUUUGUUAAGUCAGAUGUGAAAGCCCGGGGCUCAACCUCGGAAUAGCAUUUGAAACUGGCAGACUAGAGUACUGUAGAGGGGGGUAGAAUUUCAGGUGUAGCGGUGAAAUGCGUAGAGAUCUGAAGGAAUACCGGUGGCGAAGGCGGCCCCCUGGACAGAUACUGACACUCAGAUGCGAAAGCGUGGGGAGCAAACAGGAUUAGAUACCCUGGUAGUCCACGCCGUAAACGAUGUCUACUUGGAGGUUGUGGCCUUGAGCCGUGGCUUUCGGAGCUAACGCGUUAAGUAGACCGCCUGGGGAGUACGGUCGCAAGAUUAAAACUCAAAUGAAUUGACGGGGGCCCGCACAAGCGGUGGAGCAUGUGGUUUAAUUCGAUGCAACGCGAAGAACCUUACCUACUCUUGACAUCCAGA
rnacentral:rRNA from 1 species